rnacentral:rRNA from 1 species
UACGUAGGGGACAAGCGUUGUCCGGAAUUAUUGGGCGUAAAGGGCUCGUAGGCGGUUUCUUAAGUCUGAUGUGAAAGCCCACAGCUCAACUGUGGAGGGUCAUUGGAAACUGGGGAACUUGAGUGCAGAAGAGGAGAGUGGAAUUCCACGUGUAGCGGUGAAAUGCGUAGAUAUGUGGAGGAACACCAGUGGCGAAGGCGACUCUCUGGUCUGUAACUGACGCUGAGGAGCGAAAGCGUGGGGAGCAAACAGG